GAGUUUGAUCCUGGCUCAGAACGUACGCUGGCGGCACGCCUAACACAUGCAAGUCGAACGAAGUAGCAAUACUUAGUGGCAGACGGGUGAGUAACAUGUGGGUAUCUGCCCUUUGGCCUGGAAUAACACGAGGAAACUCGUGCUAAUACCGGAUAAGUCUUUACGGAGAAAGCUUUAUGCACCAUUGGAUGAGCCCGCACUUGAUUAGUUUGUUGGUGGGGUAAUGGCCUACCAAGACUGUGAUCAAUAGCUGAUUUGAGAGGAUGAUCAGCCACAUUGGGACUGAGACACGGCCCAAACUCCUACGGGAGGCAGCAGUGGGGAAUCUUGCACAAUGGAGGAAACUCUGAUGCAGCGAUGCCGCGUGAGUGAAGAAGGCCCUUGGGUUGUAAAGCUCUUUCGUCGGGGAAGAAAAUGACUGUACCCGAAUAAGAAGGUCCGGCUAACUUCGUGCCAGCAGCCGCGGUAAUACGAAGGGACCUAGCGUAGUUCGGAAUUACUGGGCUUAAAGAGUUCGUAGGUGGUUGAAAAAGUUAGUGGUGAAAUCCCAGAGCUUAACUCUGGAACUGCCAUUAAAACUUUUCAGCUAGAGUAUGAUAGAGGAAAGCAGAAUUUCUAGUGUAGAGGUGAAAUUCGUAGAUAUUAGAAAGAAUACCAAUUGCGAAGGCAGCUUUCUGGAUCAUUACUGACACUGAGGAACGAAAGCAUGGGUAGCGAAGAGGAUUAGAUACCCUCGUAGUCCAUGCCGUAAACGAUGUGUGUUAGACGUUGGAAAUUUAUUUUCAGUGUCGCAGCGAAAGCGAUAAACACACCGCCUGGGGAGUACGACCGCAAGGUUAAAACUCAAAUGAAUUGACGGGGACCCGCACAAGUAGUGGAGCAUGUGGUUUAAUUCGAAGAUACGCGCAGAACCUUACCACACUUGACAUGUUCGUCGCGACUCUAGAGAUUAGAGUUUUCGGUUCGGCCGGGACGANCACAG
rnacentral:rRNA from 1 species